UACAGAGGUCUCAAGCGUUGUUCGGAUUCAUUGGGCGUAAAGGGUGCGUAGGCGGCGGGGCAAGUCUGAUGUGAAAUCCCGGGGCUUAACUCCGAAACUGCAUUCGAUACUGCCGUGCUUGAGGACUGGAGAGGAGACUGGAAUUUACGGUGUAGCGGUGAAAUGCGUAGAUAUCGUAAGGAAGACCAGUGGCGAAGGCGGGUCUCUGGACAGUUCCUGACGCUGAGGCACGAAGGCCAGGGGAGCAAACGGG
rnacentral:rRNA from 1 species